CUUUAAUUUUGUUUGUGGGAACUGAACCAGUCCCAAGCAAAAAGAAGCUCAGUGUCUGGAUUGUGUUCUACACUUGGAGAUCCUGGAUGUCGAAGUCACCAGCAAUCAGAGUUCCAGGAAGACGUCACCUGUUGGAUUGAAGAAAACUCACUCUUCUAUUCCUCUGGAAGCUUCACAGUUGAACAUGAAUCCCACCCCUAUGCCUCAGAGAAUUCUUCAGAACAAUGUGUGCACACAGACCUUGAGCAAACUCUGGAAAUAUAUGCCUUGUUUAGUCACAGCAAUCUCACAAGCCCUGCACAAGAUAUUUUAUGUUUGUGACUGCAUCUUCAGAAAUGGUACACAGAGCUUGGGACCUGCUGCUCUGAGGGAUUCCAGACCAUCAAGGGCUCUUGUGAAUAGCUGACCCAC
rnacentral:lncRNA from 1 species